UUUCAAGAUGGGCAAAUUUUGCCCACCCCUAACCCAAGGGACUUCAGUUUUGCUGAAAUGAAGACUGCAACUAAGAAUUUUAGGCCUGAGAUGGUACUUGGUGAGGGAGGCUGAGGUAAAGUUUUCAAAGGCUGGUUCGAUGAGAAGUGGGUAGGGAAGAGUGGAAGUGGAACCCCCAUUGCGGUUAAGAAACUCAACUCUGAGGGCUGGAAAGGAUUUGAGGAAUGUCAGUCAGAGGUAAAUUCU